GUGGCGCACGGGUGAGUAACGCGUGGGUAACCUGCCUAUUAAUCUGGGAUAACUUCGCGAAAGCGUUGCUAAUACCGGAUAUUGUUCUUUGAACCCCGGUUUGAAGAAUGAAAGAUGACCUCUUCAUGAAAGUUGUCGUUAGUAGUGGGGCCCGCGUACCAUUAGCUAGUUGGUAGGGUAACGGCCUACCAAGGCUAUGAUGGUUAGCUGGUCUGAGAGGAUGGCCAGCCACACUGGAACUGGAACACGGUCCAGACUCCUACGGGAGGCAGCAGUGAGGAAUUUUGCCCAAUGGGGGAAACCCUGAGGCAGCAACGCCGCGUGAGUGAAGAAGGCCUUCGGGUCGUAAAGCUCUGUCAAGUGGGAAAAAGAUUUUACGGUAAAUAGCCGUGAAAUUUGAUGGUACCGCUGGAGGAAGCACCGGCUAACUCCGUGCCAGCAGCCGCGGUAAUACGGAGGGUGCUGCGUUAUUCGGAAUUAUUGGGCGUAAAGCGCGUGCAGGCGGCUUGGCAAGUCAGAUGUGAAAGCCCUGGGCUCAACCCAGGAAGUGCAUUUGAAACUAUCAAGCUUGAGUAUGGGAGAGGAGAGUGGAAUUCCCAGUGUAGAGGUGAAAUUCGUAGAUAUUGGGAGGAACACCCGUGGCGAAGGCGACUCUCUGGACCAAUACUGACGCUGAGACGCGAAAGCGUGGGGAGCAAACAGGAUUAGAUACCCUGGUAGUCCACGCCUUAAACGAUGAGAACUAGGUGUAGCGGGUAUUGACCCCUGCUGUGCCGUAGCAAACGCAUUAAGUUCUCCGCCUGGGGAGUACGGUCGCAAGGCUAAAACUCAAAGGAAUUGACGGGGGCCCGCACAAGCGGUGGAGCAUGUGGUUUAAUUCGACGCAACGCGAAGAACCUUACCUGGAUUUGACAUCCUUUGACAGUCCUAGAAAUAGGAUCUUUCCUGCUUGCAGGAACAAAGAGACAGGUGCUGCAUGGCUGUCGUCAGCUCGUGUCGUGAGAUGUUGGGUUAAGUCCCGCAACGAGCGCAACCCUUGUCUUUAGUUGCCCUUAUUCAGUUAGGCACUCUAAAGAUACUGCCUCGGUUAACGAGGAGGAAGGUGGGGAUGACGUCAAGUCCUCAUGGCCUUUAUAUCCAGGGCUACACACGUGCUACAAUGGGCUGUACAGAGAGUCGCAAAUCCGCGAGGAUAAGCUAAUCUCAAAAAGCAGCUCUCAGUUCGGAUUGGAGUCUGCAACUCGACUCCGUGAAGUUGGAAUCGCUAGUAAUCGUGGAUCAGCAUGCCACGGUGAAUACGUUCCCGGGCCUUGUACACACCGCCCGUCACACCACGAAAGUCGAUUGUACCAGAAGUUGCUGGGCUAACCCGCAAGGGAGGCAGGCACCUAAGGUACGAUUGGUGAUUGGGGUGAAGUCGGAACAAGGUA
rnacentral:rRNA from 1 species